rnacentral:tRNA from 2 species
GGGACUGUAGCUCAGUCGGUUAGAGCAGAGGACUCAUAAUCCUUUGGUCCAGGGUUCGAGUCCCUGCGGUCCCACCA